rnacentral:ncRNA from 1 species
UACUUGGUUGAUCCUGCCAAGGAAGCACACUUAGGUCAUAGAUUAAGCCAUGCAGUGUUAGUUCAGUAACGAAACUGCGAUAGCUCAUAUACGCUCAGAUCUAUUUGCGCGACCACAGUCUUAAUGAUAGCAGCAGCACUCUGUGCUAUACAUGCGAUGUUCUCCGAUGUGAUAUGAGAAAGUGACCUCAUCGAAGCACGCCAUCGACUGAUGACCUAUCAGC